UCUUUCUUUUACAUUUAAUUUAUUAGUUGCUUGCACCCACUUUUUAGGAUAAAUUAAAACUUAGGAAACUGAACGCGAGACGCGCAUCUUCCCUUGGGAAGCAUUGGGCAUUCGAUGAAUUCUGAAGCUGAGGUAUCGACACACAAGUAAAUCUGGUAGAGCUGGCUGUUUCUGGAUCCAUCGACAUUGCACUCUAUCCCUGGGGUAUAACCAAUAGCGUCUUUUAUAGCUUCUUCAAUGCUAUCCAAUUCAUAAAAUUCAUCGUCUGGUUUAAUUCCAGCAUUCUUCAGAACCUGGAGAAGGUUUGCUUUUUCCUUGAGCUUCAGUGAUGCUUCGAAGUAAUCGUGCUGGUCCAGUUCAGACUCGGAGCAGGUCCCGUGCUUCUCCCAUUCAUGAGACCAAAACUUGUUGCCAUCCCCACUGGGGCAGGCCAGUGUUGGCCAAUUCUUUUGUAAACUGCUCAUCAAGUCUGAGAUCUGAGAUUUAUCAAAAACGCUGUCAGGAUUACAGUUUGAUGGGUAGCCUCCAUUAUUGUAAUUCGGCCACAGCCCAUGAAUGCCAAAAUCAGCAAUAGGUUUCCCAGUUUUUGGAUAGCAGCAACUAUGCCUGGUGUCACAGUAUGAUCCUGGCCACUGCACAUAUCAUUUACAGGAUCAAGAAUUAAAGAAACAGAUAAAUAAAUGUAUAUCAGACAAGAAUGAACUGCAUCUGUAUAUAGUAAAACGCAAGAAUAAAUACUAGAAGAAUAAGAAGAGGAGAGUUUGGAAUCGGAAGAAUAAUCGUAUAGACACCUGUAGGACAAAGUAGAAGAAAUCAAAAUCU
rnacentral:misc_RNA from 1 species